GAUGAACGCUAGCGACAGGCUUAACACAUGCAAGUCGAGGGGCAGCAUGAACUUAGCUUGCUAAGUUUGAUGGCGACCGGCGCACGGGUGAGUAACGCGUAUGCAACUUGCCUAUCAGAGGAGAAUAGCUCAUCGAAAGAUGAAUUAAUGCUCCAUGAAACAGGGGUCCCGCAUGGGAAUAUUUGUUAAAGAUUCAUCGCUGAUAGAUAGGCAUGCGUUCCAUUAGGCAGUUGGCGGGGUAACGGCCCACCAAACCGACGAUGGAUAGGGGUUCUGAGAGGAAGGUCCCCCACAUUGGUACUGAGACACGGACCAAACUCCUACGGGAGGUAGCAGUGAGGAAUAUUGGUCAAUGGCCGAGAGGCUGAACCAGCCAAGUCGCGUGAAGGAAGAAGGAUCUAUGGUUUGUAAACUUCUUUUAUACGGGAAUAAAGUGUGGAAUGCGUUCCAUUUUGUAUGUACCGUAUGAAUAAGCAUCGGCUAACUCCGUG
rnacentral:rRNA from 1 species